UGCAGAAAGAGAGAGAGCAGUGCAUAUUGACAGAAGGAGAAGAAUUCAUCUAACCAAAGGACUGACAACCUCAUCGGAUGAACAAGUGCCUGCCUUGGAGAUUUGUAGCUGGAAAUCCUUCAAAGGUGACAACACAGUGAUGAGUUAAUAAGACCCAGGGCGUGAUGAAUGAAGCUGCUGGUUCCUCCCAAGAAUUUGGGUCUCUCUCGUUCCCAUUUGAAUGCUUGUGGCUGACAGUAACCAUGUGAGCAAAAAUAGUCCAAGGGCAAAACAAGCUCAGAGGCUG